AUCAAUUAAGAACUCUUCUGGAGUACUAGAAUACAACUGAACAAUAUCGGACCUCUAUGCCUAUAAAAAUAGGUGCUCGAACCCAGCUCUAUAUAGUUUCAUAGUUCUCUUCACGUUCUCUUCCUCUCCCCCAUGUCGCAGGUCUUGCUAGCCGGAUCAAGUGGGGGCUUUAGAGAAUAAGAUCAUAUAUAUCAUAUAUAUGUAUAUGAUAUGUAUAGAUGCUGCCAAGACAACAAAGGAAACAUUGCAUCCAAGCUUUGCUCGACACAGUCGACUUUUUUUUUUUUGAUCAGCCUCAAACUUAUUUGGAUUUUCUUGUUUUUAUUUCUUGUAGGUUAUGGUUGUAUCUGCGUUGACAUGUUUCUUAAACAAUGAAGAUUGAUGUUCAAAAUCAAAUUUGAUCGUAAGUCAAAGCGUCGUGCUAUUGGCACCAAUAUCUGCCAUGUCGAAGUUCAUGACGGAGUACAAAUGAUCUCGAUAUCAGAACAAGAAGGUGCUAGGUAUGACUAUAUGAUUGGAGAAGUACUAGUUGGUGUGCGUGUUACCCUUAUGGCUCGGCAAGAAAUAGGCGUAGAGCGACUAUGCUCUAACUUUGGAAAAAGAGCAUGUGAUUCAUCUCAUUCAUACAUAUUGACAAGAAAGAAGCUUAGAGUUUGACAUACGAAGUACAAGGAACGCCGCUUCCUUCACAGUACUUUGUGAUUUUCAACUCUGCGCACCUUUGCAAGAAUGUUCAUUGCCUGGUGUAAGAGCAAUAAAAUUGUGAGCCGCUUGAUCUUACUGAAACAGAACUCAACUUACUGCAAUAUAUCAAAAUUUCAGAUCAAAACUACCUCUGUAUUGAUCAUAUGCUAUUUCUGAAGUUGAUUUCCAAAUCUUAUAUGUCUAUUAAGCAGCUUUGUGCGACUGUGGUAGAAAAAUCAUAACUCGGAGUAGGAAUCACGAAAUCACCAGAUUAUUGUUCUGUUGGAAAGAAGACUAAAAGUACUACAAUGUAUGUAAAUAUUACGGCCAAAGGCUUUAUGGAUUUUUACAGAUAUUUUUUCAAA